GGCAGCCCCUCCCUGCCCACCCCAAGGCUAGCCACCCUCUGUCCCCAGGUAUGAAGGCCCCUGCCACUCUGUUCACCUUCCUGGUGCUGCUGCUCACCAUCCUGGUCUGCCUGGCUCACACCUGCUUUGGAUGCUUCAAGCACCUCAGCCCUCUGAACUACAAACCCUACGUGCCUCGGAUUCUGAACGGCUUGGCCUCGGAGAGGACAGCACUGUCUCCACAGCAGCAGCAGCAGCAGACCUAUGGUGCCAUCCACAACAUCAGCGGGACUAUCCCUGGACAGUGUUUGGCACAGAGCUCCAUGGGCAAUGUGGCUGCUGCCCCACAGGAGGCCUGAGGCCGGGUCUCACUGCUCCGAAAAGACACAACCAGAAUGGCCUGGGGCUCAGGCCCUUGGCUGAGCGGGAAUGUGUUGGGACUGCCCAGCUGAGCCAUCAGGUGCCCAUCUUUUCUGGUCCCAGCAGUGGUGAGGGGAGCACAUGCAGGCCUCACCCCUACCUUGCUCACCCAGUUCCCCCUCCGGCACAAGCUUGCGGCUCUGCAGCUGGGGUGACAUCCCCAGUGGUUUGUCGCCAAGACCAUGUGGUGGACUUUUCGCCCCCCAAACUGAUGAGUCUGGGAGAAUAUAUGGAGAGAGAGAUGUAACAAGGGGAAGGCCUCCUCCCUUCUGAGCACACACACAACCGAUAACCAAAGAGAUGCUGCAGUCCAGGUCUGAGAUGAGCUGGCGUCCAGCUCCCCGCUCCAUGGCCAGUCCCUCCCCAGCCCGGCACCCCCUCCAGGCUACACCCAGGAGUGAGCUAUGAGGAGCAGGCUGGGAGGCGGCCAGUGCUCCUGCCAGCUGUGCACACACCUCUGUAUCUCACUACAGUUCUGUGUUUUUGUAUCAUGUUGUCAGGGACACCCCAUAACAGGCAGGGACAAGGACCACUCAUAAUGUGCCCACUGGACCACAGUUAAGAUCCAGCCUCUCCCACCUCUUCAGGGCUGAGUGCAUGAGUCUGCACCUCCAGGCAGGCUCUGUGCAGUACUCACCCUCUGUCUGCUCCCUGCAAGGUGUGGGGGUGGGCAGUGCUCAGGGCCUCCUCGGAACCAAAGGACAGCGUGGUCGGCACAGAGGAGGGGGUGCCUGGGCUGGGUGCAUCCCAUUGCCCUUGAGCUGUGGCUCUGGCAGGAAGGAGGGGCUGUCCCUCUUCUCCCUCCUGGAGAGUCCAGGGGAUGGGAUGCAACUUAAGACUUCUGCCUGAGAAGCUUCCUCCCUAAGAAGCCUCCUCCCUGCUACCUCCAGGGGGCACCAAGGCACAAGCCUGUGCAGUGGGGGUGGGAGGGGGUGCGGAAGAGCAGGUCCAGGCUCCUUUCAGCCCAACUGGGCCAAGGCCUUGGCACCUCUGCAGGCCCUGCCUGUGCCUGUCCGCUGACCUGGUAGGCCUGGACUUUCUGACUCAGGGACCCUGUUGAUGCUGACUUGCGCCUGCAGUGGCGGCCAAUGCUGCCUCUGCCCCAAGCUGCCCCUGUGCUGGGAGGGGUGGGGGCAGUGCCAUUGGUCUGGUGCAGCACAGCCCUGGCCAGUGGCCUCAUCCCCAGUGGGCCUCCUGUGCCUCUGCCAGCAAGGAGGGGCCUGCCAGCUCUGCUUGGACAGGGGGCACCAUGUGGGGUCAGGGCAUGCUUAUGUCACUGGGUUCCAGCCACUGUUAGAAGUAAAGUCAUUUAUCAUCAAGGCCAUAUUGCUUAUCACACAGAGUUGGGGAUUGGGGAGUGAGCUUGGAGGGGUGAGGGGGUAAGCGUGGGCUCCCAGCAUGGGCAGGGGACGGAGGCAAACUCAGUCCUCAGAAAAGAGGUAUCUUCCCAAAGAAAAGCCUGGAGGGCACUUGUGGAGGGAGGCAGGGGGCGGUGUGGGGUGGUCACUGCUGCUCCAGCACUGACAGGAACUUGCGGAUGUCCUGGGCGAGCAGCUCCGGUUCCUCAAAGGCUGCAAAGUGGCCCCCACGAGCCAUGUAGGAAUAGGAGAUGAGCUUCGGGUACUUGAACCUCACCCACUUUUCAGGCGUGUGCAUUAGCUCAGAAGGGAAGGCAGAGAAGCCAGUGGGCACGUAGACCUUCAUCCUGGAAGCAAAAGAGCCGAUGGGAGUUGGGGGGGAGGCUGUGGCCCUGCACCUCUCCGUCCUGCACAGCAGGGGGUUCAAGAGCCUGGGGGAUGAGGUCAGCUGGCCCACUCACAAGGAGCCAUAAAGAAAAGGACAAAUCCAGGGUCUCAAACACUCCUCUCACUAUCCUCUCUUUUCUGAGAGGGCCACCCAGGCAGGGGCACGGGCCAGCCUCUAAAUCCCCACCUUUGAGGGUCUCCAUUUGAGACUUGGAAAUCCCAGAACCAUCAGUGCUACUCAGACCAGCAUCCUGGACUGGGGAGCAGUACUGAAGGCCGCCCGGGAGCCAGGCACGUGGUCCCUCCAUGAGGGCUUUCUUCAAACCCCUUGACCUUUAGUGUUCCCAUCCAAGGGCCCUCUAUAGCACCCCUGCAGGCAAGGCUAUACUUAUCCCACCACUGAGGGCCCUUACUGGAGCUCCAGACUGGCCAUCCCCCUGCCUCCAGCCUCAGAGGCCCCUGUUCUCAGUCAGCCAGGCUCACCGCUCAUGCUUCUGGGUCAUCCAGCCCUGUCCCAGGUUCUCCUUGUAGAAGCGCUGGGAGGAGACGAUGGUUGCUGUUGUCCAGUAGAGCAUGACGUUGGUCAGCAGGUCAUCCAGGGAGAACUUCCUGGGAACGCAGAACACAAAGCCCCACUCUCAGUGCUAGAUGCAGUUGUGUGACAAAGGGCAGCUGGACAGUCCUACAAAUGCCAGGCCCUGACCAUGCGACUUCCCUCCUCAGACCUCAUGCAAGGUGUGUGGUAUCCUCAUGUCACAGGCAGGCUUUGCCCAGGACUCCAGACUGGAGUGCAUGGAUUUAAUCGAAGUGUCUCUUAUCACCCCAAGGUCCUCCCCCACACCCACCUUGACUCUACACAUCCAUCCCCUCUCUCCUGCCACUGACAUCUCCUCCCUCCACUCCACCCCUGCACCAUGAAACUGCUCAGGGCAUCAGCUACUAUGGUGACCACGUACCAGGCAGCAUGUUCCAAGCUCCUUACCUUCAUUUAAUUCAUGUUUUCCUCUCAGUAGCCUAUGGGACAUAGGUACUAUUAUCUCCAUUUUACUUAUUAAGUGGAGAAUCCAAACCUGGGCAACUUGGGUCUAGGAUGCACACUCCACAGCCCCCACCCCACCUUCCACUGUCCCCAGAGCAGGCGCUCCCAACCCCACCUUCCUCUCUCAAACCCUGGAUCUCUAGCAACAGCAGCACGGAGCAGGGACAGAGAUAAAGGGAACAGCCUUUUCAAUGUGAUUUUGGUGGCAAAAUGAAAACAUCAAUGAAAACUAGUUCCAGUACACAUGCCAACUCUGUGAGAUGGAUUUCUGCACGUCGGCCAAAUGCUUCCAUCUCCCUUUCGGCUCUGCCCGCCGCUUGAAAACUACCACCACCACCAUUUCCACUCUUGUGUGUUCCGGUUCUUUCUGGAACACAGAUCUGAUCCUGUCUGCCUCCUGCUCAGGGCUUUGGUGCUCCCUGUAACCCGGGGCCAGAGCUGCAGGAGUGGCCUAGUGGGACAGUCUGGUGGGGCCUCGCGUCUGGUUCCAGGUAUCCGUGUACAAGGAACAGGCCAGACCCCUUGCCAAUGUGGUCCUGCAGGAGCUCCAUCGACCCCUGGGUCCUGCUGAAUGUAGGGCAGGGGAAGCAGAUCCCAGAGGAAGGCCCUACUGAGGCUCUUGGAGGUGGUGAGGACCUGCCUGCAAGAAUGAGUUUGCUUGCAAUCUGGCCCCAGCGUACCUGCUUCAGCCUCUGGACAAGCCAUCCUUUGCAAGCACCCUUUCCUUGCAUUUUUUAUGGCUUUUCUCUUUGCCUAAAUUUCUCUCUGCCUAAAUUUCUCUCCUCCAUCCAGCAAACUCCUACUCAUCCUCCAAGGCCCAAAUCAGAUACAUUCUCCUGGUCAUUUUCCCUCUCUGCCACUUAGACAAAGAGAAUCCUCCUUACACUGAAUUCUCACAGUCCUUUGUGCAUUCAUUCAACAUCUAGGUACUGGGCUCCCACUGUUCACCCGGCACUGUUCUAGGUGAUGGGGCUAGAGCAUGGCCAAGACAGAGUCCGUACCCCUAACGCGGGAUUCAGUCUCAUUUUACUCUCUUUCCCAUCCCCAGCACUAUCUGGUCCUCUGUGUGUCACUGAAGGAAUAAAGGGAUGGGCCCUGGAAAGGGUGGGUCAGAGCUGACCUUGGUGAAGCCUGAGUCAGGCCACAGAGCUGGGAGUCAGGCAUGUAGAGGAUACAGCCUUAAAGGCUCUGAGAGAUGUAACAGCCUCCUGUCUUUCUGCGACCACCCUCCUGGAACACACAGUCAUGUGACCCUGAUGCCAGGUUCUCCAGGGAAGCAGGAGGAAGAGCCCAGAUGCUCUUGGCAAUAACGUGGUGCCUGCUGCCCUCUGGGCUCCCUAAUCCCCAGAGGGGCCUGUUCAGCAAAAGGAGCACAAGCAGGUGAGCCUGCAUCCUAGUCCUGACCAUGCACUGUGAGGCUGGGAGCAACUCACCAGGCCGCCUCACCCGAAAAAUGCAGCUACGUUGGUCACGGGGUGAGGCUUUGUAAGAAAGUCAACAAUAGAAUUUGGUGAGCGCCCCAUGCAGAGCAACCAGACAAGGGGAUGAAGAGGGUGAGGAGGUUGGCUGCUGGGCCGAGGGUCACGACUGCAGGGGCAAACCAGGGUCUCACCUUUCCAGGCCUCCAUCCUCCAGGUAUCGGAAUUCCGUAUUGGUCCAGGUGGAAAACUUCUCUAGAAUAUAGGCAGCCAGACCCACAGGAGAGUCAUUCAGAGCAGAGCCUGGCGUGGGGGGGAGCAAGGGAGAGACUCAGGCCUGGGGACCAGGGAGCUGGAGCUUCACGUGUGACAUGUGGCACUGGCCACAGAGGGCGGGGCUGUGGGCAGGAGGCCACGUUCGAGCACAGGUCUGCCCUAACUCCUGAUGCUCACACGCUUCGCUUCCUUAACUCUCUGCCUCGGCAUCCUCAUCUGAUAAACAGUUAGCUUCCUUCAAACGGAAGGGCCCAUGCCUCUGCAUUUGGUGGGGUCCCAGUGAGAAGUGCUGUUUUUAAAAAGGUGGGGUUUUUCAGUCUAUGUGUUCUGAUUCAUGAAAAAUGAGAAGCCACCUAAAAAAGUCUAAAAUAAGGGAUCAGUUACAAAUAAAUAUUGAUAUACUCAUAAGCCAAAAUACUGUACAGUCAUUAAAAAUGGCUGGGACAGGCUGGGGGCGUUGGCUCAU
rnacentral:lncRNA from 1 species